rnacentral:misc_RNA from 1 species
CUCUUCUUCAGCGCCGCCUGCUGCUCCGGCGUCGCGUCGGUCUGAUAGGUCGCCUUCCAGGUCUCGUACGGCAUGCCAUAGACCGCCUCGCGGCUUUCGUCCUUGCUUAAGCCCAAGCCCUUCUCGUCGGCGGCCUCUUUCAGCCAGUUCGAGAGGCAAUUGCGGCAGAAGCCCGCGAGGUUCAUCAGGUCGAUAUUCUGCACGUC